rnacentral:rRNA from 1 species
AGGUCCUACGGGAGGCAGCAGUGAGGAAUAUUGGUCAAUGGUCGGGAGACUGAACCAGCCAAGCCGCGUGAGGGAUGAAGGUACAGAGUAUCGUAAACCUCUUUUGUCAGGGAACAAAGGCGGGGACGUGUCCCCGGAUGAGUGUACCUGAAGAAAAAGCAUCGGCUAAAUCCGUGUCAGCAGCCGCGGUAAUAAGGAGGAUGCGAGCGUUAUCCGGAUUUAUUGGGUUUAAAGGGUGCGCAGGCGGUCUGUUAAGUCAGCGGUCAAAGCCCGGGGCUCAACCCCGGCCCGCCGUUGAAAAUGGG